GCUUGUCUCAAAGAUUAAGCCAUGCAUGUCUAAGUAUAAGCAAACUUGUACUGUGAAACUGCGAAUGGCUCAUUAUAUCAGUUAUAGUUUAUUUGAUAGUACUUACUACUUGGAUAACCGUAGUAAUUCUAGAGCUAAUACAUGCAUCAAGCCCUGACAGCAAUGAAAGGGUGGAUUUAUUAGAUACAAUCAACCCUUCGGGUGCUUGGUGAAUCAUAAUAACCGAACGAACCGCAUGCGCAAGCGGCGGUGGUUCAUUCAAGUUUCUGCCCUAUCAGCUUUCGAUGGUAGGGUAUUGGCCUACCAUGGCUUUAACGGGUAACGGAGAAUUAGGGUUCGAUUCCGGAGAGGGAGCCUGAGAGAUGGCUACCACAUCCAAGGAAGGCAGCAGG
rnacentral:rRNA from 1 species